GGUUUCUUUUUCCCCAGGUGCUUAUUUGGCCUGACUGGUGAAUGAUGAACUCUUCCACUCUGGACAGUCCAUUGACAUUACUUCAUCCUAUACAUAGCAGCAGUGUUUGGUUGAUUGAACAAGAAAGCUCACCAGGUCAAAGUCACUUUGAUGAAUAUAUCUGGUGUACAAAGUAAAGCCUUGUAAAAC
rnacentral:lncRNA from 12 species